CUAUAUUUAACAGGCUAUCUAGCCAUAUAGGUCUCGUUCGUGGUGGACAUUUGGACCGGAAUCGCCCAUUGUCCUUUACCUAACUUUCUGUUGGUUGGUAAGUGCAAAAACAAGGGCACGUAGGUUCUGAAUGCGCGAGUGAAGCGAGCACGACUUUCCAUAUUUUAUAUCUCAUGACGAAAACGAGGUUUGAAAAAAAAAAAAAACGCUGUUUUCGGGGAUCCCGACCCCCUGGACCCUCUCCCUUAUAUACGUCUAUGCAUGACUAGCUAAAAAAACGUCAUUACAAAUCCAACAUGGCGGACUGGCUAUUUGAAAUCCACCCCGGUAUCAAAUGAAAAGGUUUGCUGUCAGGAAUACGAAAAAGUAAAAAAAAAACUAAAAACACGCUUUUAAAAAAUUACAAAAUAAAAUUGUGUUUUAAUCACUAAACAUAUUAAGUACUUAUUCACGGUUUUUAAUUUUUUCCUUAAUAUGUUGAGGUUUAAGGUCUGCUAGAAGUACCUACCUUGUUAGAUUGGGAAGUUCGCCGUACCCGCUUUGCUCGAGAAUUGGCUGGGGCACUUCCUUGCCCUUAGAUAGUUUGAUACUCAAAAAAGAUAAAAACACGUAACUUGGUGAAUGUUGUAAUGUUUGUACUCGACCAAUGCCACUAUGGCAGCGCAACUGUUUCACGGUAGCUGAUGCAAUCCCCACUCCGCUAGAUUGCGUUACACUGUGUUGCUACAGUAAGAUGCAGACCUUGGAAAUCGGCUCAUCGACUCGUUUAAAACUGCCGUUUAUAUAAUUACUUAUAAGAGUAUUCUUCAGUCUUCAAUAACAGAGAUAGGUACAUGUGACGAGUUAAUGUGUUAUUUUAUUACCUAAUCGAUUAUAUUAGAUGCAUAGAUCAGGAAUAUUUAAAGUGGCUACUCUUUAUCUUUGUGACAGCGUGUAACAAAAUGUUACAUACAUACAAGUAUAACUUGGAGGAUUGUUUGUGAAGGCUAGGCUAACCGACGGACGAGCAUGGGGAGUGUGGCGUGCCGCGAGAACAGUCGCCGUCGUCACAGUAGCAGUGUUCGCUCUGCCUCCAUCCAAUAUCACAACAUUGCAGUUCGCUGUUUGCGCGGCAGGGAUCAUGAACUCCACUCAAUUAGAGUUUGCUUUAUCCUUAAGGAUAACAAACAAGUCCCAUACUUAUCUACUUCCUGGUAAUCAGUAGAAACUGAAAAUACUCGUUGUUUUGCUGACUUGAAUGCUGUAUGAUCCCUUGCUGGACCCUACAAUACUUUAGAUGAUGGUGGAAAGGAAUAAAAGAUUGUUAAGUACUGAACACUACUGUAUUAACCGAAACGUACUAAAGGUAAAGAUGAGCUUAAUGGACUAUGAGUGAAUGAAAUGAGUGACGCAGCCCUUGUUGGCUGUAACGAGAACGCUUGACCAACUUGGUAGCUCAACGCGAACUGAACAUAUAUUAUGAAUUAAAAUGUAAGUGGCGUAAAAUGCUGAUGUGCGGAAUGUGCGGUUGCACCGUACAUGCUCCCGAGCGGGAAGAUGAGUAUGAGAUGAACAUGAUAAGAUGAGUAACAAGGUGAUUCCAAUUGGUCCUUAUUUAAUGCUUAGAGUCUCUACUUGAACUCCGUUUUACGUGAUAUAGGCACUGUACACUUGUCUAACUUAUGCACCUUUGGAAUUUCUCUGUAAUCUGACACACACGGAAUUUCACACUGAUUACGCGCACUAGCACUAUAUUCCACAGUGGAUGAUGACAGAGAGGCCCCAGCCUCUGCCCGUGCCGGGGUCACGUGUUGCGUUGCCUGUAGACUUGCCAAUGCGGCCCUUGCCACCUCGAGAGAAGCGGUCCGCCUGUUGUGCAGCCGACGCCGUACCAUGAAGCCUGCUCCAACCACCAACACAACUCCGAUCAUCACAUAAAAUGCUGUGUAGUGAUGGAUAUCGUGAUAGGAAAGUUGAUUUGGUAACUUUUCACUUGCUUUAAGUAUGCGGAGUUGUUUCUUGAUUUCGUCGAACUCCUCGUUACUCGAGAGUAGUGUAUUGUUUUGUAUCAGUGGUGUCGAGAUGCCUGCGUUUAUGAUAUGAUUAAUUGGUUCUAUCUCAGGUAGCUUUAACGAUGGUUUUAUGUUUAAAGUGCUAAAAGCUUCAUUGCGUGAGUAAACGGUAAAACUUUCAGUUUUAAUUAGACAGUCGUGUUCGACUCCCAAUAUGCCUGCUUUUAUUAUCUGCCCCGGCGACACAUUAUCGCCGCAUAGAACUCUUAUUUCACACUGACUACAGCAGAAAAAUGCGUAAUUGUUUAUUUUGCUAAGAGCUGUCCAUUGGUUCGAACAAGUCGUAAUGCUGAUCUUGCAUUUGCUUGAGUCUGGUUCUAGUUCACAAAAUUUUUCAUUAUUCUUGAGAUGAUAAAUUGGCUUCUCUAUAUGACAUAGAUAAUUGUCCACAUUGUCACUUAGACAUACCUGAACGUCGGAUAUGGACAUUGGUAAAUACGAGUCCUUCUUUAAAUUGAUUGCAACAUGUUCAGCAAUCGGAGUUAAUGUAGCCAUCCUUGAAUUACCUACAGAUUGAGGUAUUGGGAUAAUUUUCAUGAUGGAAAAUGUAUCUCUAGACACCAGAGGUACUUUCAAUUCGAAGAUUAAAAACUCUUCAGUCAUUCUUGCUUUGACUGUCAAUAAAUGAUAAAUGUUUUUAAAGUUGAUUUGUAAGUUAUUGAUCGGUAACGUAAGAUCUUUUGAAAGAUGACUCGAUAUUGUAUUCAGCGUGUUCUUCAGUUGUUCUGGUGACAAUAAAUGAAUAUUGAGUCUUCCGUGGUAAACAUCUGUUACGGUAUCUAAUAAACUUGUUUGGAUUGUUUUUAGCUGUCUGAGAACAUUGCUUGUAGCGAUUGCUCCCGUACUGAAAUCGUUCAUGAUUCGAUUUCUCUCUGAUUCGUUCAAUAAAACGUUUUCUAUUCUAUCUAGCUUGAUUGAUAAUGUAUUAAGCAUCUUGUGUUGCUUAUUAAUUGCUUGCCCGUUUCUUUUCAAAAUGUUGUAUUCUGCUUCAAUUACCGUUGUUUGUUGUUUCAACAGCGAGAUUAAAUGAUCUUCAUUGUCACGUAUGGAUUGAAUAUCUUGUUUAUAUUGUUCUGCGAAUCUCUCAUCAAGUACACCGAAUAAAUUGUUUGCAAGAUACCCUACACCGUUGAUAAGGCCUCGCUUGCGGCGGCGCAGGUCUCGUGCGCGGCGCGUGCCGGUAUGCUGACUCAGCAGCAGGUGGUUAUAGUACUCGAGUUCUGAGAAUUCAUGCUUUAGUUGAACUUGAAUUACGUCACAAUGUGAUGUUUCUUUAAACUUAUUGCAUAGCUGUUCUAAGUAGCCGAGGUAUUUACUGCAUGCUUCGGUACCUUGCCAAAGUGAAUUCAUGUCAUAGUAUGUGACUAUCUUCCAUUCAUCUCUGAUUAGUUGCAUGUUUGCAAUUUUGUCCAAAUAAAAACCUUGAUUGUCUUUUAAUUGUGUUACAUUGUAUGAACCGUAUGCUGUGGUCAAAAUGCUCAUGAAAGACAAGAGUAACAUUACCAGCGAAAAAAAGCUGUAGUUUACUCUUUUGAUUUGAUAUGGCUUGCCAUCCUUUACUUCCUUGGAACGCAACUCUUGUUUGUUGAUUCUAUCGUUCACAGGGAGAAUAGACAGUUUGAUAAUAGGCCUCUUGAUCAGCCCAUUCUUUGUUUUCAAUGUGACCACCCUGAUGUGGCCAUCGGCCCCGGGAUGCAGCUGGACGACUCGACCAACUGCCCAUUUCCCAGGAGGUAAGUUUGCAUCGUUAAUUGUGACGAUGUCAUUUAGUUGAAUGUCUGGUUGAGAAUGUCUCCACUUGCUUCUUGCUGACAGCUGUGUGAGAUAUUCUGCAUGCCAACGUUUCCAAAUAUCUUGUACUAUUUUUUGAGUUAAAUGCCAUCUUGUCCGCAUAUCAGUUUCUGUUUCUAAUAUAGUCAUAUCUUGAUUUAGAUUGAUAAAGCUUGACGGAGAGAGGAAAUCUAGAUCGUUGGGGUCUUCAGUAAGAGGACACAAUGGCCUUGAGUUAAGUACUGCUUCUAACUGGGCCAGAACUGUGCUGAACUCUUCAAAAGUGAGCUUUUGCUCUCCAACGACUCUUCUUAAAUGAUAUUUUAAACUUUUAACUGCAGCCUCCCACAGCCCUCCUGCUGUGGGCCAUGAGGGUGCGUUAAAAUGCCAUUCAAUCUCCAGGCUAGUAAUUUCUUUGAUGAAAUCUUGAUCAAAUGUUUUUUGUAUUUGUUCCAAUUCUUCCUGUAAAAUUUUGUUAGCACUAACAAAGUUUGUACCAUUGUCGCUAUACAAGUGUUUCGGCGAGCCUUUUCUUCCAGCCAUUCGUCGCAAUGCAGCUAGGAAUGCUGAUGAUGUGAGGUCCGAGACUAAAUCUAGAUGAACAAGCUUGGUUGCCAUACAGACAAAUACCACUACGUAGCCCUUUGUAGUCUUAAUUCCUCGGCCCUUGUUGGCCUUUAUGAGCACGUGUCCGGUAAAAUCGACGCCUGUAUGUUCAAAAGGCUUUGCAAUGUUACAUCUCUGCGUAGGUAAAUCACCCAUCAACUGUGUCAUCUUGCUUGGAUUGUGUUUACGACAGGUAACGCAGGUACGUAUACGUUUUUUGACGGCUCGAUUACCGCCUAUGAUCCAAUAAUUCUUGCGAAUGAAUGCUGAUGUCACCCGUGCUCCUCCAUGGAAGGUAAGUUCAUGUGCUUGAUCUAUAAUUAAGUUUGUUAAAUGUCCUUCGUGAGCUAUGAUAAUCGGAUGCAUCAUGUCUGGAUUGAUAUUGGCCUUGCUUAGUCUUCCUUUGACUCUGAGAAGUCCCUCGUUGUCAAGGAAUGGAUUUAAUUGCAAUAACUUGUUUUUUGCUGAUAGCGGCUUAUUUUCUUUUAAAUAAUGUACUUCCUGAGCAAAUUCUCUCUGCUGUACAUGUAAUAUUAUUUUAUGCUUAGCAUUUUUUAAUUCAUGUAAUGUUAAAUAAGUUUGCAUGCGAUUUUUCUUGUAUCUCGCUUGCUUGAUAAAUCUUAAUAUCCAUGCUAAAACUCUUGUUAGUUUAGCGAGUGUACUAUAUCUUACUAAUAAUUCAUCCAAAAUAUUAUCGCUUUCUUGCUGCGAUAUGUGAUUAAUAAGUUUCUUGGCUUUUCGUGCUUCUUCGUCUGUGGUAAACACUGCUUGCUCAGUUUCAUGGUCAGGGUCGUAUUUUCGGAGCCACGACGGUCCUUCCCACCACAGCGAAUGAUUUUCCAAUUGAUCGAUACUCAAUCCGCGGCUUGCACAGUCCGCUGGAUUUUCUGCUGACUUGACGUAACGCCAGCAAUCUAUCGGUAUUAUGCUUGAUAUUUGUCGCACCCUGUUGGCGACAAAAGGCUUCCAACGUCCUGGCUCUUUUUGUAACCAGGCUAGGACUACCAUUGAGUCUGUCCAAGUAUAUAUCUUGAUAUUAUGACUGAUAAAGCAUUGUUUAAUUUUAGCCAACAAUUUUGACAAUAAUAAAGCACCACUCAACUCUAAUUUUGGUAAUGAUAUUGAUUUGUUUACUGGAGCUAAUCUUGCUUUUCCUGCCACCAAAGAAAUCUUUGUUACUCCGUUGUUUUCAGUCUUGCAAUAAACAACGCAUGCGUAGGCUUUAUUAGACGAAUCGCAGAAUCCAUGUAAUUCUAGCGUGUUGUUUUCUCCUGUACCCAGCCAACGCUCCAACUUGAAUUGAUUGAUUUUGUGCAUGUCAUCUUUAAUGUUUAGCCAUUCUUUGCUAAUUUGAUCGGGUAACUUGUCAUCCCAUUGACUACUUGACAUCCAAACUUGCUGAAAUAGUAGUUUUAGCUUUGUUGAUAACGGUGACAGCCAACCAAGAGGGUCAAACAACUUUGAUAUGUCUGAUAACAUGGAUCUUUUAGUUGGUGUUUUGUUUGAUGGUUCCAUUUUUGAUUGAAAUGUAAAUAAGUCUUGUUUUGAAUUCCAACGUAAUCCCAAUGUUUUUGAUGUCUCCAUUUCCUUAAAAUCGAAAUUUUCUUGCUCUCUAUUCGCACUGAUUGCAUCGUCUUGUAAGACUGAUACGUUGGACGACCACUUUCUUAAAUUAAACCCCCCUGAUUUUAGCAAUGUGAUUAAAUCUUGCUUUAGUUUUACUGCUAACUCGACAGAAUGCGACCCAUGAAGGACGUCAUCCAUGUAGAAUGACUGCUCCAAGGCCUUGAUUGCAACACUGUCGAAAUUUUGUCUCUCAUCUUCAGCCAGUUGUUUUAAAGUCAUCAUAGCUAAAAAUGGUGCGGCCUUGGUGCCGUAUGUAACCGUGCAUAGUUGGUAUACCUGAUGACGCAUGUCAGUAGUAUCCCUCCAUAUGAUUUUUUGGAAUUUUUGAUCCUGUUCAUUUAGCCAAAUAAAACGGAACAUUUUUUCGAUAUCUGCCGUAAAAGCAACGCGAUAUUGUCUCCACCUUAAUAGUAAAGAUUGGAGAUCUUGCUGUAGAUUUGGGCCUUUUAACAUGACGUCAUUUAAGCUAGUUCCUGUUGUUGUUUUUGAUGAAGCGUUGAAAACUACGCGAAGUGCUGUCGUAGUGGAAUCGUUUCGCAAUACACAAUGGUGCGGUAAAUAAUAAUCCGGUUGCAUGUUACCGGACGCCGGUAUCAUAUGUCCUAACGUUUUAUAUUCUUGAAUAAAUAAUUUAUAUUGUUUUGCUAAUUCUUCAUUAUUGUGAAAUUUCCUUUCCAACUGUUGAAAUUGCGCCAUUGCUUUAUUUUUAGACAAUCCCAACUGUACCUCAAAGUUUUCUUGAAAAGGCAAUCUUACUUCAUACAUGCCAUUAUCAUGCCUUCUUGUGGUUUUCUUGUAAUACUCAAUGCAUUGUAGAUCUUCUGCAGAUAAAUUGGAUGAUUCCGAGAUGUCUUCAAUCUCCCAAAAUCUUUGUACUUCGUCCACUUGAUUCAGGACUACGCUACAAUGAAAAGUGUUUAAGUUUCCGCAUAAGAUCCAUCCCAGUCGUGUCUGUUGCGCGACCGGUAAUGAUAGAUCCACCCUGAUAAUGCCCUCUAAAAUGAUAUGGGAAUACACAUCGGCUCCCAAUAAGAUGUCGAUAGGACGGCUGACAUUGUAUUCUGGAUCGGCUAGUUGCACGCCAGCUAGAUGUGCCCAUGUUGGCUUGGUAAAUGUACAUCUUGGUAACUGAUUAAUCAGCGUGUCCAUGAUUACUACAUCUGUUUUAAAUGUAAAGUCAUUGAAAUGCGAACAACAUGUUAUGUUCGUAACGCCCUUGCUACUGCUCUCCUUUUCUCCUAUCCCGCAGAUGACGGCCUUGCAAUACUUUCUUGAUAAAGCUAGCUGUUGUGUCGCUCUCGCUGUGAUAAGAGAGGCUUGAGAGCCUUGAUCUAUUAGCGCACGCAUUUUGUGGUAUGAUCCGUCACUUGCUUGAACUUUGAUCAUUGCGGUUGCUAAUAAUGUUUCGAUCAUGUUAUUGCCUUGUUGCGCAACGUGAUUUUCUUGAGAUUCUUGAUUUUGCGUUGCAAGGACCACUGGUGUUUUAUUCUCAGUAAUUGUGUUACAUGAAGACUUAUUGUUGAACGCUUCAUGUAAAAGUGUAUUAUGUCUACCGCUACAUUCGCGGCACCGUUUUUCGGACGUACAUUCCUUAUCCCCAUGCGAAUAAAGACAAUUUUUGCACAGACGUAAUCGUGUUAUAGCUUGUCGCUUCGAACUUGGCGUCAUAGUUAAAAACUUAUUACAAUAGUAUAUUCCAUGUGACUCUUUGCAUAAUGGACAUGUUAAUUCGAUAUUAUUUACCGAAGUCUUACUUGCUGAAUAUUUAUUCUUGAAGAAUGAUGACGAUGUUUUAUUUUGCUUGCUUGUUGAUGGUUUGGAAUUUUCGUUUUUCUUGCGUGAAGAUUCCAAUGCGGUGAAUCUGCUCUCUAAGAAGCUUAGAAACUCCGUCAAUUUUGGUAGAUCUCUGGGUUUCUUCAGAGAUUCCAAAUAAUGAUCAUGCGUGUCCGCAUCCAAUUUCAGCAAUAAAAUACGCACGAUGAAUGGAUCCCAGCUGUCUAUGUUAACGCCUAGGUUCCUUAUUGAGUUUAAACACUCUAGAGUGGUAUCGUGAAUUUUCUUGAUCUGAAAAACAUUUGCUUGUUGAACUACUGGAAGAUUCAGUACGAGAUCUAGAUGAGAUGUAAAAAUCAACCAUUUGUUGUUGUACCUAUUGUUCAAUAUCUCCCAGCAGACAUUGUAAUUGUCAGAACUGAUUUGUAAAUGCUGUAUCAAACGUUCAGCUUCUCCUCGCACCUUGCUUUUAAGAAACUGCAUCUUGUGGGCGUUUGAUAAGGAGAUGUUACUGUGGAUAGCUUCAGUAAACAAGUCCUUGAAAGACACCCAAUUUUGAUAAUUGCCACUGAAGAACGGGAUGUCGAUUUUUGGCGUCCAAUUCUCUUUGUGAACUACUGACCCUAGUUUUCUAUUAAUUGCAUUUUUUAAUUCAUUGUAAAUAGUUUCUUGCUUCGUAUAAGACACCUCAUAUUCUUGAUUCGUACCCUCUAAUUCGCUGUCUAGUUCCCAAUGUAAGGAAUCUAUAAUAGACCAUCGAGACUGUAGAAUACGCAAGGCAUCUUUCAACUCCCACUUUUCGGACAUAAAAUCCAAAUUUAUCCCUGCCACAGUGCGCUGCAGCGCCCUGAAGUUGCUUGCUUGUUUCUUCAAUAGUUCAUCAAGCUUGCUAGAUGAACCUCUGGAGCAUGUCUCGACAGGCGGCGAUUGUUGUCCCACCGGAUCUUCUUGCUCAGACCAUGCAGGACCCUGUUCUUCCUGUGUAGAAUCUCCUUGUUGAGUUUCUUUCAUCUUCAUCAACAAAACUUGAUAUUGUUGAUUGAUAAGUUCCUUAGUCGAGAUAUAUAGCUCUUUUGUUUUUUCGUAUUUACGGCCAAUGAAAUAGGGAUGAGUCUUACUUUCUUCCAUGAGAAGACGUUCGUGAUGGUACUGGUAAUCAGACCAAUAUUGAUUUAAAGUAUCUAAACGUCGCUUGAAAUAGUCAGCAGUCUUACGAUCCGCUGAGUCUUUUUUGAUAUUUGUAGCCAACUUUAGGAUGGCUGUGUAAAGUUCGUCCUGAUUUGCAUGUAAGGCCUCCAUGACGAGGAUUUAAUUAUAGUAAGAAAUAAAUGGAAAGAUCUUACUUGACUGUUUUUGAUAACUGCUUACGAAUCCUUGGUGAUCCGCUGAGACACCUGUUAGCCUCAGAUUUUGAUGAUGAAGCGCUUCUUGAGACACCUGUUAGUCUCGAGUCUGUUGCACUGAACUCCUUAUAGUUCGCGGGUCCUUGAUGACCCUGGGUCACUUGUUAGUCCCAAAGUUUUGUAGUCACUCAACACAAUUCACACAAGUUUUGAGUCACUGGUUAGCUAACCGCUGCACUGUCCACGCGCGCGAUAUGGACUAUGCAGCGUGCAAUGUUCACAACCGAAGGACCAUAAAUAUGUAUGAUCCCUUGCUGGACCCUACAAUACUUUAGAUGAUGGUGGAAAGGAAUAAAAGAUUGUUAAGUACUGAACACUACUGUAUUAACCGAAACGUACUAAAGGUAAAGAUGAGCUUAAUGGACUAUGAGUGAAUGAAAUGAGUGACGCAGCCCUUGUUGGCUGUAACGAGAACGCUUGACCAACUUGGUAGCUCAACGCGAACUGAACAUAUAUUAUGAAUUAAAAUGUAAGUGGCGUAAAAUGCUGAUGUGCGGAAUGUGCGGUUGCACCGUACAAA
rnacentral:lncRNA from 1 species